rnacentral:rRNA from 1 species
UACGAAGGGUGCAAGCGUUGCUCGGAAUUAUUGGGCGUAAAGGGUAGGUAGGUGGUACUAAAAGUCUGGGGUGAAAUCCCUGAGCUCAACUCAGGACGUGCCUUGGAAACUUUAUUACUAGAGUGCUGGAGAGGUUCGCAGAAUUCCCGGUGUAGCGGUGAAAUGCGUAGAGAUCGGGAGGAAUACCAGAGGCGAAGGCGGCGAACUGGACAGCAACUGACACUCAACUACGAAAGCGUGGGUAGCAAACAGG